GCUUAAGUGGAUCUUGGGAAGAGUACAGAAGUGGCAGUUCCGUUCAAUGAAGGACACUACACUGUUGAUGAAAUAUCAUUACUCCUUUACUCCUUCUCUUCGCAUCUUUCCAGUCAUUUUCAUCACGACUUUUGCUGAUUUUGUGCCUGGAUGGGAUUGAAAGUUGUAUUCCCUCUGCCACUGUGACCAAAACAUUUCUCCAUAAGCUGAUCAAGUUGAUAUGCUGGCAGGGGAAUAAAGGAAAAUAAUUACAUUGAUCUAGAAGCAAUGUUUGCCGCUUGUCGAAUGGAAGUGAACUGGACCGGUGAAAGUGUGGUACAUGUGCAAGGUGGGAUACCUGGAAUGCAUAGGUCUCCUGGUAGAAGAUGUUAGCUGAUUGUAGUUUUGGCAUGACACUGGGCAAGGACAAUGUAGGAGUAACGUCGGGAUAUGUUUCCUGGCAGCAAGGUCUGUCAGACUGUGGGAUGAUCUCCCUGGAGAAAUGACGGAAGUCCUGUAGCUUGAGUCAAUUAAAGGGUAGUCUAGACAAGAACCCACGAGGCUAUUCUCUGAAGGGCCAGCCUUGUAUCUGGGGAGGGAAAUGACACAGGGCAUAGAAAAUGACCUCAUCAUUCUCUGUCACUCUUAGAAUGAAGAGGUGAUGUUGAUAUUGGCUAUCCUACUGCGGAGGAUGCUAGUGAAGGUGUUAAUCAUUGAGAUGAUUUUGUGAUAUGGGUGGGAAGGAAUCAGUGAAUACCACCAUGACCCAAAAGAACCAGGAAGGAGUUCUUAGGAGGUGUCUGCUAGUUACUGUAUUUUGGUGAGGAUUGCAUUAGCUUAGCAUAUGUGAAAAACUCUGGCCUGUGCCCAGUCAGUCAGUAUUUGAGUUCUAAAUGUUUAGAUUUCAUCAUCUUAAACAGAAGAUAGCUAAAGAAAAAAAAAUUCAAUUGCAGCACAUCUAAAAAGGUUGGAGCAUCCUAUGCUAGAGACAGUCAUCCUGGCUCCAUCCACAGCUGCAUUACCCUAGAAUUAAUGCUGUAGUAUAAUCAAUACAAGGAGCACAAGGGUAAUUGCACCUGGCUUUAUUUCUCCCUUAUGACAGACCUUGGCCCUAUGCUCUGCAGCAGCAAUGUCAGCUUGGUAGAUCUGGUUGAUGCAGAAUAAUGGUCCAGGUGGGAAAGUUGGCCCCUGGGGACUUCACUCACUGGAAAAGGGUUGCUGGUGGCAAAGAAGCUCCAUAGGGACCUCUUUGUCCUCUGCUCCUGGCAAGUGGGACGUGAUCAGCACCCCAUCUGCCUGC
rnacentral:lncRNA from 1 species